rnacentral:lncRNA from 13 species
CUUCGGUGUCACGGACAGUCGCACUCGCUUUUAGUCACUGGCGAAGUUUCCUCUGCCCCCCCGCCAACUCCCACCGCCCGCCCCGCCUCUAUUCCCCGGCCAAAAACCCAAGCACAAAAGAGUAUUUGAAGAGAGCAGCUCGGAAACGGGAGAUUGCAGUGCCAGGCCGAGAACUAAGCAGGGAUGGAGUCUCUCUCUGCUGCCAGGCUGGAGUGCAGUGGCGCGAUCUCAGCUCACUGCAACCUCUGCCUCCCGGGUUCAAGAGAUUCUGCUGCCUCAGCCUCCCGAGUAGCUGGGACUACAGGGAUGAGUGGCUGAUGCCAGAGCCCCAGCUGUUGCUUCCCAGUCUGCUGGUGAAUCCUUCAGGGUCUGGUGAGUGUAAAUAUCUUUUCCCUUCUCCUCUUCCCAUUGCAGUUUGCUUAUUAUAUCAAUCUAUUAUAUUUUUUGCUUAUUAUAUAAUUUACUUAUAUUAACUUGCUUAUAAUAUCUGUAUUGCCUGACCCAAAGCCAGGCCUAUGUCUUGACUGCUCAGGUUCAAAGCUAUCAGCCUAUUGCUGGAAAAAGCAGCUGUUCGAGUGGCCUGGUCAGGGUAAAAGCAAAGACCUAGUCAGCCGGGGCUUGGAGCAGGUUAAAAAAAAACCCAGCUCCUAUUGCAGGGAUGGGAAAUUAGCCGUAGUAAAAUUCAAGGACAUGCGCAAACUGUCAAAUUCCUUGGCCUCCUAUGGAAUGCAGGGAAAUAGUCCAUUUUACCAAAGGCUAAAGCUAAAAUACUAGAAUUUGCAACCCCUACCACUAAGGAGGCCCAGAAGUUUACUGCCUUGUUUGGAUUCUGGAGACAUUAUGUUCCCCACUGUGGUAACAUUUUAGUACCUCUGUGUGCAGUCACUAGAAAACGCUGUGACUUUCACUGGGGAGAGAAAGAGAGCAUGGAUUAUUUUUUUUUUUUAAGAUGUGGUUUCACCAUGAUGGCCAGGCUGGUCUUGAACUCCUGACCUCAGGUGAUCCACCCACCUCAGCCUCCCGAAGUCCUAGGAU